ACUUUUAAAAAAAAUUGAAUAACAAGAAUAUACUCAUAAUUUUUGCUUAGACCACAGUGUAUAUGAUAUAGUCUGUCUCUUUUUAAAAAAUCCGUACCCUGCACUUCACAACAAAAUAUGAAUAACAAGGAUAUAUUCAUAAUUUUGGCUGAGACCACGUGAAUAUGACAAAACAUGUCUCUCUUAAAAAAAUAUAGAGUUUCAUUUGAAAUUACUUCGACAGUUUUUUUUUAGAUCUUUCUAUUUUAUUUUAGUCGAAUUGUGGAUGAAAUUCAUGAGAAGUGUCGACAAAGUUGUGAGAUUAAUACGUUUACGACACAAAUCUCAAGUGCUAAGAUUGGAAGAGAUAUUGGAGAGUUUUCUGAUCUGGUGGAUGAUGUAGAGAAUCUUGUCAUUGUUAAAAUAUUCUACAAGUCCCUCUUCUAUACAAGAAUAACCAACACUGCAGAUGGGAUUGUCGAUCUUCUUGCAAAUAUAGGAGGGAA